rnacentral:hammerhead_ribozyme from 1 species
GUUGACGAGUUCCAAAUAGGACGAAACGCGCGUCAUGAAC